UCAGGGUUAUUCCCAGGACACAACAAUGAGACAUGACUUGCAUAAAUAGUCUUGGUUGAGGCGUACCCAGGUGUCCACCAAUUAGCUAACAAACACU